rnacentral:rRNA from 1 species
GCAAGCAGCCAUAUCACCCUGCAACCCAGCUGGCAGCCCCACUGAAGCUCAGCAGGUGUGAGCCUGGUCAGUACCUGGAUGGGAGACCUCCUGGGAAAAACUAAGGCUGCUGCUGGAA